GCCGCCGGCUGCCGGUCACGUGUGUGUGUGUGUGUGUCGGCGGUGGAAGACGCGGCUUUUACCGGGGAAGGUGUGGCAGCGGCUUGGCCUGGCCGACAGAAACAUCUCUCAUCAUGGUGUUCCGGACAGGUUGACAGCUGUCAGCUUUCUGUUAUUGAGAGGAUUAUACUGCCAGCCAUCCCACCAAGCUUCGAGAUCUGAAGGAAGGCAAGAAAAUUAGAACCAUUUUAAAAGCAUUCAUCUGAAAUUUCUUACGAUUUAAUAGAUUUUGAAGCUAUUGUGUCCUAACAAAAGGAGAUAAGGGACCCAUUGUUUUUGCCAAGAGACUCUGUUCACAAUGGCGUCUGCAUCUCGAGCCUCAUCCCUUCUCGACAGAGAUUAAGUAAAAUCAAUGCUGCUGCCUGACCCACUGAGCUCCUGCACCUCCUCUCUGUGUUGCUCCGGAUGUCCAGCAGCUGCAGUCUCGUGUGUCCCCAGAGUGGCUGAUCAGUCUCUCGCCCAUGGUUUUAUGUUGUUGAUAACCCCUGUCUGACGCUCAUCUUUCACUCAGUCGUGAGAUUUUGAACUGAUGCCUCAGAAACCACAUUAGAGUUAUUGAAGCAACUCAUUUUUUCCUAUCAAACAGGAACCAAAUGAUCCAAUUACUCAGCAGCGCCCCCCUCACCGUGACCACAGUCAGUGCAGGUCCGUAGUAACGUCUCCUCCUCGCUGACAAUCAACACAGGCACACCUCAAGGAUGCGUGCUUAGCCCACUGCUCUACUCUCUCUAUACUCAUGACUGUGUGGCUAGGCGCAGCUCAAACACCAUCUAUAAAUUCGCCGAUGACACCACUGUUGUUGGCAGAACCUCAGAUGGCGAUGAGGCGUACAGGAGUGAGGUAGCUCGGCUGGUUGAGUGGUGUCGCAACAACAACCUUACGCUCAACGUCAGCAAGAGCAAGGAAUUGAUUGUGGAAGGGGAAGUCAGGAGAACGCACACCAGUCCUCACUGAGGGGUCAGCAAUAGAAAGGGUGAGCAACUUCAAGUUCCUGGGCAUCAACACCUCAGAGAAUCUGUCAUGGUCCCAACACAUUGAAGAAGGCACGUAGCAGCUCUACUUUGCUAGGAGUUUGAGGAGAUUUGGUAUGUCACCAAAGGCUCUUGCAAACAUCUACAGAUGUCUGUAGAUGCUUCUAGAGGUAGAGAGCAUAUUGACUGGUUGCAUCACCGUCUGGUAUGGAGGCUCCAAUGCACAGGAUUGCACGAGGCUAUAGAGGGUUGUAGACUCAGCCAGCUCCAUCACAGGCACAACCCUCCCCACCGUCAAGGACACUUUCAAGAGGCGGUGCCUCAAGAAGGCAGCAUCCAUCACUAAGGACCCUCACCACCCAGGACAUGCCCUCUUCACGUUACUUUUACGGAGAGGAGGUACAGGAGCCUGAAGACCCACACUCAACGAUUCAGGAACAGUUUCUUCCCCUCCGCCAUCAAAUUUCUGAACAGUCCAUGAACACAACCUCGUUAUUCCUCUUUUGCACUAUUUAUUUUUGUAACUUAUAGAAAUUUUUAUGUCUUGCACUGUACUGCUGCCGCAAAACAACAAAUUCCCCAACAUAUGUCAGUGAUAAUAAACCUGAUUCUGAUUCUGACAAG